rnacentral:lncRNA from 10 species
UGAUGUUCCUCAAAGUAUUCUUCUAGAAGCUUUAGCAUUUAUAUUUGGGUCUGUGAUCCAUCUUACAUUGAAUUUUGUGCAUGAUAUGAGUGAGAUAUUAAGAUUAAUGAAAAUGCUAAUUAUAAUAGAUUCUCAGGUCCUAGCCAAAGCUUUUGUAUAUUGGGAUCUCUUGAGAUCUAGGUUAUUUAAAGGUAAUAGACGAUCAGUAUUAAUGAAUUUGUUUUCUUUUUCCAUCUGGUGGUUCUCAACCUUUGUUCCAUAUUAUCAUCAAGUGGUUUGCUUGCUUGCUUCUUUUUGUCAUUGCUUUUAGUAGCACUGCCUCAAUCCUACCUUCAAAAAUUCUAAUUUGAUAACCUGGACAUCAGGAUUUUUGGGGAGAAGGGGACAGGGUCUCACUUUGUCACCUGGGCUAGUGUACAGUGGCAUGAUCAUAGCUCACUGCAGCCGCAAACUCCUGGGCUUGAGGGAUGCUUCUGCCUCAGCCUCUCGUGUAGCUUGAAUUACAGGCUUGAGCCACCAUGCCUGGUGACAUUGGGAUUGUAAUGGGUCUCCAGGUGAAUCUAAUAUAAAGCCAAGUUUAGGAAUCAUUGACAAGCUCCAAAAGCCUGGAAAAAAUGUAUACAUGAAGAUAGAGGUUAGUGUUACUCUCUCCUUGGAUGAAAACACCUGACAAGUUUUAUUGAUUUAUUGGGAAACAACGCUGGAAGCAGUUUCUCCUCUGCCUCUUUAAUCCCUUGGCCAGUGCAAUCUUGAGUUAAGCAUAGACUCACUAUUAAGUCUUGUAGGGUGAAUACAUCUUUACUUCAACUUUUCAUCCACUUUAUCUUCAUCUCGGAGAAUUAUUGUGAAAAAAAAAGUUCUCAGUGUAUAACUCAUAUUAAGUAAAAGACAUAUAAUAUAUUGUAAUAAUUCAGCAAAUAUUGCUUGUGGUGUUUUACCUACUUUACACUUGUGGAAAGUUUAAGGAAAAAUUUUAAAUAGUCCUACAUUAUUUUCAUAGAAGAAUCACAGUAAAAUAAGAACUUUGCAAGUCCACCAUUUUACUACGUUGCAUUAUUUGAAAAGAAAACUAAUUUUGAAGUGUCUGAUGAUUUCAAAACACAGUUCACUAUUAUUUAAUUAGUGAAAGGAGAUGCAUGCGAGGAUUUGAAAUAGAAUUUUUAACAUUGACUUAGAUACUUUCCCUAAAUGUAUUAGACAUAAAAGUAAAUGGUAUUUAUAUAUUUGUUUGUAAGAUGCUAUAAUUUUAAAUUUAAAUGUCUAUGUAGCUUUUUCUGAAAGAAGCUGUUCUACUAUCAUAGAAGCAAUUUUGGGGCAUUUCUCUUACUUGAUUGACUCUUUUCUUAUCCAGAUGCUACCCAUUUUCAAGAUUGCACAGACUCCACUUCUAUAAGGGAACUCAGCCCACAAGGCUCUCAUGCUGGAGUGCAGUAACUUGCAAUGAUAGCUCACUGCAACCUCGAACUCCUGGGCUCAAACAAUCCUCUUGCCUCAACGUCCUGAGUACCUAAGACGGAGAGGUGAAUGCCACCAUGCUUGGCUAAUUUAAAAAAAUGAAUAAAUUCAUAGAGAAGAGGAUUUGUCUUUGUUGCCCAGGCUGGAUCUGAACUCCUAGCCUCAAGUAAGCCUCCUGACUUGGCCUCCGAAGGCACUGGGAUUACAGGCCUGAGCUAUUGAGCCCAGCCACUUCCAUUUCCUGAGGGCUUUAUCAAUGUAUUCUUCAUUGUAUUGGCUAUAACUUCCAGUGCAAUAUUGGAUAGAAUUAGUGAGUAAACAUUAUAGACAUCUUUGGCACGUCGCCAAUUUUGAGGGGCAAAUAUCCAAUCUUUCAUCAUUAGAUAUUGCUGUAAAAUGUAGUGUUUUUGGUUGUUGUUGUUGUUGAUGUCCUCUAUCAGGUUGAAGAAUUUCCAUUCUAUUUUUUUUUAUUAAUUCAUGUUAGAUUCUGUCAAAUCCUUUUCCUGCAUCAUUGAGAUAAUCAUUUCAUUUUAGUUCUUUAUUUUAUAACACAGUAUAUUACAUUACAUUUUAUAUUUAAAAUACAAAAACAAUCUUGCAUUUCUGGGAUUAAUUUCACUUAGUCAUGGAGUACAAUCAUUUUUAUAUAUGGUUGAAUUUAGUUUGAUAAUAUUUUAUUGGAGAUUUUUGUGUCUAUAUCUGUGAGGUAUAUUGAUCUGUAAUUUAAUUUUAAUUUUUAUUUUUUAAAUUUCUUUUUCUUUCUUUUUUUAUUUUUGCCUUUGAAUAUAGGCCUUAUAACAUGAAUUGGGAAGUUUCUCUCUUUUUCUAUUUUCUGAGUAUGUGUAUCAUUUCUUCAUUGAAUAUGUGAAAUAACUUACCAGUGAAGUCCUGUAUAUUUCCUUAUGAAAGACUUUUAAUUGCUAAUUCGAUAUAUUUAUUCAGAUUUUCUAUUCAUUUUUGUUUCAGCUGUGGUAAUUUAUAUGUUUUUAAGACUUUCUACCUUAAAUAUAAGUUGUAUAAUUUGUGAUCAAAAGUGUUUCAUAGUAUUUCCCUUAUAAUUAAUAUAUUUGGAUGGGAUGGGGGAGGAUUGGUAGUAGUAACCUUUGUUCCUGAUUUUGGUAGUCAGCACAUUAUCUCUUUUUUCUUUCUUUUUUUUUCUUUUUUGAGACAGAGUUUCGCUGCUGUCAUCCAGGCUGGAGUGCAAUGGCAGGAUCUGGGUUCACUGUAACCUCCACCUCCUGGGUUCAAGUAAUUCUGCCUCAGCCUCCCAAGUAGCUGGGAUUACAAGCACUCGCCACCAUGCCUGGCUAAUUUUUGUAUUUUUAGUAGAGAUGGGGUUUCCGCAUGUUGGCCAGGCUAGUCACAAACUCCUGGCCUCAAGUGAUCCACCCACCUCAGCCUCCCAAAGUGUUGGGAUUACAGGCGUAAGCCACUGUGCCCGGCAUUUUUUAUUAUUCAUCAUCUAAAUAUUUCUCAAUUUUGUUUAUCUUUGCAAAGAUUCAAACUUUGGAUCUUUAAAUUUCUUUAUUGUUUUUUGUUUUAUUUUCUAUUUCAUUGAUUUCUGCUCUAAUCUGUAUUAUUUCUUCGUUUUUCUUGCUUUGUGCUCAGUUUAGUCUUCCUUUUCUAAUUUCUAAGGUUGGGAGAAUGAAUUAUUAAUUUAAGAACUCUCUUUUUAAAAUAACUUUUAAAUUUUGAUAUAAUUGUAGAUUUACUUACAGUUAUAAGAAAUAAUAUAGAGAGAUCUCUUGUAACCUUAUCUCAGUUCUCCCAGUGGUAACAUCUGGCAAAAGUAUAGUACAAUAUCAUAAGCAAUAUGUGGAGAUUGAUAUAGUCAACAUACAGAAUAUUUCCAUUACCAUGGAAUCCCUCAUGUUGUUCUUUCCUAGCCACAUCUAUUUUCCUCUUUCACCUCAUCUUUAACCCUUGAUAACCACUAAUCUUUCCUCCAUUCUCAUAAUUUUAUCACUUCAGUAAUGUUCUACAAGGGAAAUUCUAUAUCAUAUAAUCUUUUGUGGUUAGAUUUAUUUACUCAGCAUAAUUCUCUGAAGAUUUAUGGAGGUUGUUGUCUAUAUCAAUAACUUGUUUCUUUUUGUUGCUAAGUAGUGCUUCAUUGCAUGAAUGUAAUACAUUUUGUUUAAACUUAUUCACUCCUUCAAAAAUGUCUGGGUUGUUUCCAGUUUGGGGUUAUUAAAAAU